rnacentral:lncRNA from 1 species
GUGGGAGAUUCCUCCAAGCUCUGACCUCUGUACCUCCAGCCCUCCAUCUUCUCUUCCACUGCUUUUUGUCUCCUUGACCAUCCCAUUUCCAUGGAUUCCUUUGAGCACCGCACACCCUGGAAUUGCUCCUGAGAGUCAGGUGAGUGAAGAAAUGGAGGCUCACAGGAGGAAACAACGGGCUGGUCCACAGUAAGGAACAGAACCUGGGUGUGCACUAAAUUCCAAGCUCAGAAUGUGGCUGUCUGCGAAGGACCUCCUCAUUACCUCCUAGUAACAGGCGUUCUCCUCUCCCCGAGCAUCUCAAGCAUCUCAACAAGUGAGCCGAGCUUAGCACUGAGUCCCACAGAGAGGAUCCCCUUUGAAGACACUCUCUGUUAGUAUACAGGAGAUUCCACUGACCUGCUCAGGGACCUAGCAGCGGCUGCUGCCAGGUGAAUACUGUGGAUAAAUGGACCCCAGCCAUCCUCUCUUUGUCCCUUUGCCUUCUCCAGUUCUCCCGUUCUCUCUCUCUCUGUCCCUGUCUCUCUGACUCUCUGUCUCCCCCAUCUCGUCUUUGCCCGCCCCUCUCUGUGUUUCUCUCUGUCUCUUUGUCUCCCUCUGUCUCUCU